rnacentral:rRNA from 1 species
UACAGAGGGGGCAAGCGUUGUUCGGAAUUACUGGGCGUAAAGGGCGCGUAGGCGGCCGCCUAAGUCAGACGUGAAAUCCCUCGGCUCAACCGGGGAACUGCGUCUGAUACUGGGUGGCUUGAAUCCGGGAGAGGGAUGCGGAAUUCCAGGUGUAGCGGUGAAAUGCGCAGAUAUCAGGAAGAACACCCGUGGCGAAGGCGGUUCUCUGGGACGGUACUGACGCUGAGACGCGAAAGCGUGGGGAGCGAACAGG